UGAACUCAAGAAACACAAGGUUGACUAGGACCUGAAGAGGUCGUGGUCAGAGUGUCAGACAAGUGCUUGUCAGUUGGUCCAAAGCAAGGGGCACCAUGGAUGAUGGACCCGGCCGUUGACGUCGACGCAUGGGGAUAGAAGCGAAGAGAAGAGAAGAGGUCGGCGUGCGUAUUGGUUAUGGAUGGAUGGACGUUGACACGACCACAUUAUUAUCCUCGGUCGAUCGCCGCCUCCUCCUCUCGUGUCAACAUCCCCCCUGUGGGCUGUGGGCUGUGGGUGCCUCUGCAACCAGGUAACACCUCCCCUGCCUCGUAUUAUAUGGCUAAAGCUGUAAAGCAACUAGGAAUCGAUCGAGUUGCAGGACUUUUCAUGGGGCUGAGAUUCUCUGGAAAGUAUGCCUACAGAAAGGAAAUGGGGGAAAUGGGCCAGAGAGCUGUGACAUAUACUCGCUGCGUCAUCCGGCCUGAUGGGUUUGGCUCGUAGGACUUGGGGCGGCGACACGGCACGGCGGACCUUUUGGUUUCCGGCUGUGGUGCAGAAUGCAGGAAUCUCUUGGUACGUUUUUCGUGAUACGCAACAUCACUCCCGUGGAAAUUAGCAAACAAUUGUAGGCUGUUUUCAGGUAGUAUACUGCUAUCGAUGACGACGUGAAUACAGCUUUGUUGGCGGAUGCAAUGGCACGCAUAUCCUUAUUUUCUGGCAACGUCUUCCCAGUGGUGAAGAGAGCUUUCAGCUGGUCCACUAUGAUGUGCAUAAUAUCCUUUUGCGCAUUUGUAUAUAGAGUUCUAAUUUGUUUUUGGGAAUUCUCCUAACUGAAAAGAUCACAAACUUUGUGAGUGCUCCCUUCAGUUUCCUAAAGCACAAAGUUUUUGGAUAUAGACAAAGUCAGCUAAACCUUGGCGCGUACCAAUAUCUUCAAAAGAGUAAAUGGCACAAUACCACCGCAUUGUGGCAAUCUUCGUAAUAAGCUACCACUUUUGAUUAUUAUUAUUUUGCAAAAAAAAAUCAGGUAAUAAUUCA